rnacentral:rRNA from 1 species
AUGUGUAGCGGUGAAAUGCGUAGAUAUAUGGAGGAACACCAGUGGCGAAAGCGGCUCUNUGGUCUGUCACUGACGCUGAGGCUNGAAAGCGUGGGUAGCGAACAGGAUUAGAUACCCUGGUAGUNCACGCCGUAAACGAUGAGUGCUAGGUGUUAGGCCCUUUCCGGGGCUUAGUGCCGGAGCUAACGCAAUAAGCACUCCGCCUGGGGAGUACGACCGCAAGGUUGAAACUCAAAGGAAUUGACGGGGGCCCGCACAAGCGGUGGAGCAUGUGGUUUAAUUCGAAGCAACGCGAAGAACCUUACCAGGUCUUGACAUCCCGAUGCUAUUCUUAGAGAUAGGAAGUUACUUCGGUACAUCGGAGACAGGUGGUGCAUGGUUGUCGUCAGCUCGUGUCGUGAGAUGUUGGGUUAAGUCCCGCAACGAGCGCAACCCUUAUUGUUAGUUGCCAUCAUUAAGUUGGGCACUCUAGCGAGACUGCCGGUAAUAAACCGGAGGAAGGUGGGGAUGACGUCAAAUCAUCAUGCCCCUUAUGACCUGGGCUACACACGUGCUACAAUGGUCGGUACAACGGGUUGCGAGCCGGUGACGGCAAGCUAAUCUCUGAAAGCCGAUCUCAGUUCGGAUUGGAGGCUGCAACUCGCCUCCAUGAAGUCGGAAUCGCUAGUAAUCGCGGAUCAGCACGCCGCGGUGAAUACGUUCCCGGGCCUUGUACACACCGCCCGUCACACCACGAGAGUUUGUAACACCCGAAGUCGGUGAGGUAACCUUUUAGGGGCCAG